AUGAUCAUUGGGGACUUCAAUGAAAUCACAAACAUGAAUGACAAAGAAGGAGGCAAUGCUAAGCCAGAACAAUAUAUGAUAGAAUUUAGAGAUUGUAUUAAGGACUGUGGGCUACAUGUGGCUAUGUCCAUAGGUGAUGACUUUACUUGGAGACGAGGGGAUAUUCGAGAGAGGCUGGACAGAGCCAUUUGUAAUGACUUAUGGGCAGAUAAAUUCCCACAUGCACCUGUAGUGCAUGAACAACAUGUUCUUUCAGAUCAUAGGCCUGUUUUGCUGGACAUGGAGUACUAUAAACCGGUGAUGGAGCAACAUCACCAAAAUCAUAAACGUAUGUUUGAAGCCCAGUGGUUAAACGAGGAGACCGUGAACGAGAUUAUUAAUUCUGCAUGGGAACGAGCUAAACUAGCUGGGUUGGGACCUUCUCUCGCGGACAGAACUCGAUAUGUGUUGAAGGAUCUGCAUGUGUGA
rnacentral:rRNA from 1 species